AAUAGUAUGUUAUUAUUCAAGAUGCCUCCCUUAGCAGCUCCCCGGCCCACAGAUGGAUUUUUACCAUGUUCUCCUCCACGGGAAAGAAAGCCACAAGGUUAGCUUGUGUGCUGGGGCUGUUCACACCGUGAUGCCCCGGCCUUUCGCAGGGGAGGUCUUUACGUUGAGCGUGAACAGCCUCGGUUACACGUUCAGACUCCUGAAGAGAGGUCGACUCGAGUAGCACCGACCAGCAGAUCCACAGCAGCAGCACAGACCUUCUAAUUGCUGUGUGGCUCCAGAGGAGCUGCCUGCCCUCUCUGAGACACCCGAGGAACAAGGCGACCGUCAUCGUACCCAGGGUGAUUUUUGAUUUCAAAAGCCUGUCUUUUCUCAAUAUGGAAAGGAGGAGUCACAGGCUAGGAGGGAAGUCAUGCUUACGUAAAAACUUCAGAACUAAGAGGAGGCUUAAGGCCUGGCUGUCAGCUCCGGUUCCCCCUAGAUGAUAACAGCCCCUUGCACCUGGAGAGGUAAAUGAAAAACUGUGUAGACGGAGAUGUGCGAUUGUUAGCGGCUGGGACUCCUGGUGAUCUGGAUUCAGGGUUGUUGCAAACACGCACAUGCCUCACUCAAUCCUGAGUAGGAUGCAGCGAGGACACACUUUCUCAGCUAUUUCAGAAGCACAAGAAUGGCUAUGUAAUUUACCCAAGGUAACACAGCAGAACCAAAUUUCAAAGAUCUAAAACCAGCCGCUUCUCCUCCCCCUCUUUCUACCCCUAAGUACAAACACCCUGCUUCCUAGUAUCCAGACACUCUCUGCCCCAGCUAACAAAGUUCAGGCUUGGGACAGAACACCAUGUUUCAUAAGAGCCCCCCCCCCCAUCUCAAGUAUCAGAGUCUGAGAGGGGGCUCUUGGUAGCUGAAUUUGGCUUGAUUAAACCAAGGAGAAAAAAAAUCAAUUAUUUUUAAAUAAAGAGAGGAGAUUGGAAAUCAGGUACAAUGCCUUCCUAAUUACGGCACCUAAUCACUGGCUGGGAAAAAAAAAAAAUAGCCGAGUGUUUCACCUCAUAUGCAGCCUCGCGCAUCUGUGAGGACGGGUUCCUAAUGAGAUCACAUUACUCCACUUGACUAGUAAUUGACUAGGCGAUCCUGACCACUUCCUUCGCAGACAUGAUCAGGCAUAAUAUCCGGGGCUUUCUCAGGACGUGACAACAUGGGACGCUUUGGUGUAAAACGGCAGCCCACCCCCGAGAUCCCACUUUGCAGCAUGAGCCACAGUUCUCCUGGCGGUGGAUGGACGUGACCGCUAGGCAGGGCUGAGCGUUCUUCGGCAGGCCGGCGUAAUUAAAUGGCUUUUUCUCUCCACAGUUCAGAGCCACUACAAACACAGGAGGCUGGGGAAGAUGGCCCGCAAUCAAACAGCCCAAAGAGAUCAUUCCGAGUCUCCUUGCUACUCCGCUGAUGGAGUAGAGCCUUCUAAUUGGCCCUUCUGUCUCUCCUUCCUCGCCCUUCCAAUCUUUUGCCUUCUUAGCAGCUAGGUUCAUCCUUAUAAACCGCUUUUCAGUGAGUCACUGCCUUGAUUAAAACCCUUUGGCUCCCUCUUGAGACUUGAGCCAUCCAUCCCGGCACCCUGCCAUGGCGGGAGAGGGCAGACAUGAUCUGGUUUCAGCCUGCUUCUUCAUCCUGCUCCCCGAGUCCUUGUUCUGAGCGUCUAACCUGACUGAGCUCCUCACGUCUCUCUUGCUCUACUUGGGGCAUCCUUCCUUCCCGCUAACUCCUCUAUCGUGUCCCUGGACCACGCCUCACCUGGCCAGUCCUCAAGGCCUCUGUUUUCAGAUUUCUUUCACUACUUCCGCCCAGCAUCCCUGGAGGAGACAUUGUCUAUGAGCUUUGGGAAGGUCCGGAGCCAACUCUGCUGCUCUGUUUUGUCCUCAGAACCCAGCACACUGUCAGCCUCAGAGCACACAAUCCUUUGAGGGAGUGGGCUAGACCUGACGGCAGUUGCUUGUCGCUUGCGAGCACCUAAGUGACUUGAAGCCUCUUCCUUGGCCCUGCCGUCUCCCUCUGGAGACCCCUCCCGGCUUCCUUGAUUAUGAACGCCUUUGCUAAGGCCCACCGUCUUCUUGUUUUUAUGGCCCUUGGAGGAUGCGUGUAGCAGUGAUCAGAGUUCUUGAUUUAAAAUAAAAAAGGACAUCUUUGAUCCGGUUGCUAGCCAUUCAGUCAGGAAUGCAGUUCCAGGCAGUAACCCGGGGCUUGCGGCUCACCGGAAGCCUGACCAAGCCAAGGUCUGUUCCUCUGCAGGCGCACAAUUGGAUACUCAAAAUUCUAGAGCACAGGGGCAUUCAAGAAUUCUGUUUCCAACGGAGAAGACAAAGGCAUAGACAGAAGCCGUGGCUUCCCCAAGGCCUCAGAAGACGGCGCUCAGUUGACACAUGAACAGGGUAUGUCUCACCUAGCUCCCCUCAGGAUGCCCAUACCGUCUUUGGGGAGAGGCAACUCUUCAGAGACAUCAAAUAAUCUGGAUCCUACAGAACUGUCCCUCAGCUCGAGUGCCUUUGGGUCUGAGUCGGGUGUGGGAUAGCAUUACGCAGAAUGAGCCCCCCCCCCCAGGCCAUGCUAGCCCAAGAGGAGAAGGUCUAGAGACAACAGGUGCCAUCUUCAGAGUGUUUGGGGGAGAGAAAUUCCUCCCCACAUCCCUUUAUAGAUUCUGUAGAUGGUCUGGAACUGUAGAAGUUGAGUACUGAGUGAAUCAUGUAAUUUGCUCAUUCAUUGAUCGAAAUGAUUAUUUAUGAAUGAAUAUUGAUGGGAUACUUAACUAGGGGCCAGCCGGUGAGCGAAGGGGUUUACAGGCGUUUCCUUAUUUAAUACUUGGCCCUUAAAGUUAAGUUGAUUUAGAAAUAUUAAAAAUAAUUAUCCCCAUGGUAUAGAUGCAGAACCAGGAGUUAGAAAAAUAACCUGCCCGGGUAGUUAUAAUUAACCAAUAAUGAGAAUACUUGACAUUUGUUGGGUCAUUUAUUACGGUCUUGGCACUCUGCUAACGUAAUAUGUCAAAUUUAAUCUUCACAGUGAAGUGUUAGUGUAGGUGUCAUUAAUACCCAACUUUACAUGUGACUGGGGGAUUGGCGCUCGGAAAGGUUAAGUGAGUUGACUGGGAAGGCUGCUCAGGUGUUGAUGGAGCCUGAUUCUUAAGUCUGCCCGAAUGCUAAGUCUGGUGUCUCUCUCCUCACAAUCACCUGCAUCGGAUCCUACGGGACACGUAAUCGGGGCUCCACAUCACGACCCCGGAAUCUGGGGGCAUACCCAAGGAGUGUAUAUCUUAUAUGGACUUAUUGCAUUCACUAAAGCUGGGAAGAUGGGGCCCAGGACGCUCGGAGGGCUGUAAACCAAGGCAGCAAAAGACAUUUUCCGACGCUCGCUCGCACUCCAGCAGAUGUGUUUACGCAAGUCGGCUUGAUUGCAGCAUGACCCGCCAGCCCUCAGAUCUGAACUCUGGAGAAUGCUUCGUACAAAGUCUCAAGGUAGCCCAGCCUCAACUGUAAUGGGGCACGGAACGGCGGUCGCCUCAUGGAGCAACAGGAUACUGAUGUGGGUCAGGCACCUGGGACGUAAGGGGCCUCAGAGUGUGUAAGCACGUGACAGUCCUUAUUCUGUCUUAGAGAUGUCCUGGCGGCCCACGGGCCAGUCAUCGCCCGCAACUGGAACAGACUGGAUGCCCCACAAGAUCUGGAGCUGCCCAAUGUCUCUGUUCAAUUACCUCCAUCUGCGGGUAAAACAGCCCCUGAGUAACGGACUGAUUAAUCUCCUUAUCUCGUGGAGCACACAGUGUAAUUACAUCAGAGGAUUCAGAUCCCCAAGCGCAACAUCAAUCAAAUCAGAGAGAACAGCUCCCUGACUCCUUCCCCGGGCAGCUUGGGGGAAAAAAGUACAUCUUUCUUCCCUGCCCCCUUUGAUCCGCCUUCCCUCAAAGAAGAAACCCCGGGCCGAUGACGAUGAUGCUUGGCAAAUAAAUGGCUGCUGGAGAAGCAGGUAAGGAGGGAAGGUGGGCCAGGUGUAUUUUUAGCCACCGUUGACAUUCGGUGACAACUGCCAUUCUCUUAUCAAAUAAACCUGGGUGUUGCUUGAGUUUUGAGCGAAUACAUGGAAAGAACAGAAUCAUGUGUUUUUAAAGGGUGAUUAGAGCGAGCACUAAAGACCAAGGCUGGGGGUCAACUCUUACUGAACUCUUACAACUCUUUCUACAAAGGUGUUACCUCCACUCUCUUUACAAGUCUGCAAGGCUUUAUCAUUGGCGCCCAUUCUACAGAUGAAAACACCGAGGUUUACAGACGCUAAAGCUUCCCGGUUAGUGAGAGGCGUGGGAUCCAACACUGAUGAAUCUGACCCUGAGCUUGGUACAACCCAAGAGCUGGGUUUAUACAAUGGGAACAGCUGCCGCUUCCAACCUAACCUCUCUCUGGGAAUGAGUGUCAGCCACGCCCAUAUGCUAAUUUCUCGCUGAGACUCAGUUAUCUGCUCAUCCGGGGAUUUUUGAGUGUCUGCUGGGCAAGGAUUGCUGGUGAGACUAGAGGAAGGCUCUGAGCCUCGUUUCUAAGAGUGAUGGGGAGGACGCAGACAAGACCGUUGCUGGAAAGUAGUCACCAUGGCAACCACAUAGAUGAAACUCACGCGCGCUCGCCGUAUGCCAAGAGGGCAGACAUUAGAAGAUGUGAUUCGCUUCUCGUCAAGUUCCGAACCAGGAGAACCCAGCUUACCAUGGAAAAUUCUCAGGACUGCUCGCUCCUUACCUCCCAGGGCCGACAGCAGACUGAGGAAAGACCAGAGGGAAUUCUCUGGGACGGUGAACAUAUUUUCCACUCGGGGUGUUGUUUUCAGGGUGUCUGUAUUUGGGAAGUAAUUAGAUAUGUGCAUCUCACUGAUUAAAAACCCUCUCUGAAAGACUUUGGGCAACUACGAGAAAACAAGCAGAGCUUACAUCGGUAACAGCUACUACGUAUUGUGUGCCUACUGUGCGUGGUGUUUACAGCACUGAUAAAUUUCAUUUUCUUAGGAGCCUUAGUGAGACCCAAAGGAGGUGAAGCUAAGAUUUUAAAACCAGGAGGAGCCAAAGCUAGGAUUCCAACUGCUCUAAUAAUCAGUCUCACAUGCUUUCCUUCUCACGGGGAGAACCAUUUCUAUCUAACUCUCUGUCUCCCUACUAACGUUUGAAAUUCUGUAUAGUAAUUUCCUCUGGGUUAAAACGUUCUGUCUUGGAGGGAAGCUAAUUAAGGCACAGGAUGUUCAGAGAAGAGGUGAAUGUGCCCUAUCCUUCCAGGAAGUUGAAACAUUUUAUCCAUCAAAUUAAGCUCAUGAAGUAAGCAACUCAAAGCCUUCAGGAAGUCCCUGAAGCUGACCAGACUCGCUACACCCCUCCCUUUCCAAGAAAAUACAAGCAAUAACGACUCUCCGACCAGUUGAGCUGCAGAGACUAACCAAGCUGCUGGGAAGAGGUUUAGACCAACUGAUUUACCUAACUUUCUGACCUGUUGAGCUGCCUGCAAACUGUGCACUGUGCUCCAGGACCCCAGCUUUGAUGAUCUGACACCCAUGCUGGUCUGAAAUUUGGGUGAUACAGUCCUGGGGAUGAUUCUCUCAAGCCUCUCUCUCUUCUCUCCUCGAGAGAAGCUGUAGCCAAGCUCUCUGCAAUGUGGGUUCAAAGCCCACCCCAUGCUUGCUGAGGUAUCUUCUGCCUGUUUCACCUGGGAAUCUCUGACACCAAGACAUCGUGGGGCUUUGACAUGGCUGAACUCAGGGUGGUGUGCAGUAAGACGUUCCCGAGGUGCUUCACUCAAUCUCUUGCCUCUUGUUCCUAUUCGAGGCACGAGGGAGAUAGAGGGUGGGUCUAGUCUGACUCUCCCGAGGUAGUGAAAGGUACGGAAAGUGUGUGAGUAUAAACAGCAGCUUACCCAUCCAUCUUCACUUUUAGGAAUCUGGAAAAUGGGAUUCACCACCAUGACUCCGGGAGGGAUUCGUACAUGUGACCCCGGGAUGUAUCACAUCACCUUCGCUGUCCUUGUUUUUGCCCGUCUGUAGAUGUAAUGGUGGCCUUCAUCUCCCCACGCACAGCAACUUAGGAGGGUUCUGCUUGAAGCAAGGCAGGCAGUGUGGGGUGCUGGACACUCAGGCUUCUGACUCCUCAGGUGAGAGCUCUGAGACGGGCUCUCAGAACCCUUAGGAGAGUGUAGACACAGACGGACCCCAAGACUCCCCAGCUCGGAAAUCCAAGAAAUGGCUAAAGUCAGGCUGAGUCUGAUUUGCUCCUAACUGAUCUCUCCUGCUUACACCAGUGCAAAGCCCAGUAGAUGGAUGUUGAGCAGACAGGUGUUGGCAGUCAAUUAAUGUAGGAAGCAGACAGUUUUUUCUCCUGUGAGAAGAAGCUUCUGGAAGGAUUGUAUCUGAGGAUCCAUUUUGUGUAAGCUGCAGCAGACUUCUUAAAGACUCCACCUCAGUGGGAAGAUUUACUACUCAGACACGCGCCCCACCCCCUCCGGAACUUUAAGUUUUGACAAGAACCAAGAUUGAAGAUGGGGGUGUUUGGGGGUGGGAUGCACACAUCUCUUUCCAGGCAGUUAUCUUACAAGCUACAUCUGGGAGGGGGGGGUGUGUGCCACCCCUGAUUUACCUCAGUCCCUGUCUGGUUCAUUUCAUCUGCUUGUGGAAUCUCUAUAACAGUGCUAAGGGUAAGUUUUGUGAUUUCUUGGUUUAAGGACCAAUUUCUUCUCUUGUUCUCAUAAAGUAUGGAAAAGUACAGAGCUAGCCUUGGCUAGGUCAUAGGUCGGCGCUUGGCCAUGACUUUAAAUGGUCUGAGAAAGGUGGGUACCGUAGAAGAAAUUAAUCGACCUCUAUGCAGAUGACGCAGGAUUGUGCAAUCUGUCACUGUUCUGUGCAACUAGCUAGGGAUCAAGAGGAGCUAUGAACCUGACUGGGUGGGGGUGUGCUCCAAGAACCGUCAUACAAGUUAAUUCCCCAUACCAUCUUGUAUACAGGAAACAUGUUGCCGGCCAUCAGAGAGUUCUCUAUUCCCAGGUUCCCAAAUGUUGACUGAUCCCUGCUCAAGUUUAGAGGGCACUAGGAGACUGUCACUGUGCCCUCAGCCACUGAGUAUUUUGAAUCCUCUUAGCUCAGUUUCCUCAUGUAUGUCUGUGGCUCAAGCAGUCUGGGCUACUUCAGAACCAGGGAAGAAAGGCCUUCCUGUCAAUACAGUCUCCUCAGCCCCACCGUGCUCUCAUGUUUAGCACAGAUGUCCCCAGAUUCCAAGUUAUCUAGUGGUACCGUGAAAGGUAUGAACAUACCCAGAACAGUACACUUAGAGAAAGAGAUUGUGAUCUAAGAGAGCUUCCUGGCAGAGGGGUAUGGAGUGUGUGUGUGCCUGCAUGCAAUGUUGUGUGUGCCGUGCUGCGGGUGUGGAAGUCAGAGGACAACUGUGUGAGUUAGUUCCCUUCUUCUAGCACGUGGGGUCCAGGAAUCGAAUUCGGGCUGUCAGGCUUGGGUGGCAGGUACCAAUAUAUAUUUAUGGGAAGCUCUACGGAGCCUCCCCAUGCCUAGCCAUGGGUAGGAACAAGCUAGGCAGCACUCUUUCCUCCACCCACUCUCUCUUUCAGUCCCCUAAACACCGACCCCACUGUUCGGGACAUUCUCCUACUUCUAUUUUUAUUUUACCUUGGACUUCCCUCAAGGAUAACUCCAGAAGCUCCAUAACUCUUUCCCUGAUUUUGCCUCUCAGAUAUUUUUGAUUCUUUCCUUCGCUCUUUUUAUUUUAUUUUAUUUUAUUUUAUUUUAUUUUGCACAGAUGCCCUCCAGAUUCCAGCGCCAUAGAGAAAGGUAUGAACCCACCCCAGGAUGGUACCCUUAAGGAAAGAGCUUUAAAUAGGAACCAAAGACACCCAGACCAUCCCUCUUCUCACCCCCACCCCCACCUCGCCUACUAUUUCUGGCAGCUCCUUCCGCACUUCAGGCAUUACUUGCUUUUCCUAUUAGCCCCCUUCCUCUCUGUUUCCUCACCUCCACUUUUGGAUCAAUUAACAGGAACAGACACAGUUUUCUCAGGGCUUUGGAUGUCAUCAGCAGUGCCCAGCACUGUGGCAGAUGAUGGGGAAGUGUCCCUUCUGAGUAAGUGCAUCAGAAGCUCUCUGGCAUACAAGAAUGUGAGCCCCAGAGGUUCCCCGGGGGAGGGGGGAGAUAACACCCGAGACCCCCCAAAGCCACUGGACAAGAGGCACCUGGAGGUGAUUUUGCACCAACACAGGAGGGAGGACUGGGGGGAGGACUGUGGGGGAGGAUUCACCCGAGGCAGAGGCACUAUGCACUAAGCCUGAGAUAUCCUCAUCUUUAUUUUCAGCUCCCACAGGGUCACCACAGUGGUGAUGUUUGUGACAUCUGACAGGUUUGUAGCAAACAUCAACAUGCCAGCCCAAGCCACACCCACGGUUUCUAUGCCCCGCGUGGUGCAUCUGGCUCUGUCACAGCUGCGACACAGGUCCUCUGUUAGCAUAGCUGGAUUUCAGAUGACAGAAUGGAGGUGUGGGGGAAGUCAGAAACAUGCGGGAGCCCCCACCCCUGAGCAGCUGGAGGGUAGAGGAGCCAGGCCUUUUCUCUCUCUUUUUUUUUUUCUUUUUUUUCGGAGCUGGGGAGCUGGGGACCGAACCCAGGGCCUUGCGCUUCCUAGGUAAGCGCUCUACCACUGAGCUAAAUCCCCAGCCCCGAGCCAGGCCUUUUCAAGACUGAGCCUGGAGCCCGAUGCUUAAACACCAGGUUACUCUACCAUGAUUCCAAGCUGUGUCCUCAUUUGAACAUCCCAAAAGCACAUCUGCUGUGUAAAGUGUGAGUCACCAGGAGCUCACGGAGCAGGCAGUGAGCUGCAGGGCGGGGAGUUAGUAAGAAUGCCUGGCACCGUCCUUCCACCAGGUGGAAGAGUAACAAACUGAUAAAUUGAUACACGGAUUCACUUAACCCUCCCAGCUACUGCCUCGCCCCCAAAUGACAGGUAAGUGAGGUAUGGAGAGAUUAAAUCACAUACACAAGGGUGUGAGUUGGAGGAGGUGAGAGUCACAUGCUGGAUUUUUAUUUCCAAGCGUUGAGGUUCUGAUCUGAUAUGGAAAUACAGAAAUGGAAAAAGGGAGCUGAUAAAAUGAUAUUCAUCCCUCUUUUCUUCCUGAGUGUGGAUGUCAUGUGACCAGCCCAUAUUUCCUGAGUGUGGAAGUCAUGUGACCAGCCCAUUCUUCCUGAGUGUGGAUGUCAUGUGACCAGCCCAUAUUUCCUGAGUGUGGAAGUCAUGUGACCAGCCCAUUCUUCCUGAGUGUGGAUGUCAUGUGACCAGCCCAUACUUUCUGAGUGUGGACAUCAUGGCAGGAUGGGCUGGGUCCUUAAACUGUGUGGUAAAUGAAAGCCCUUCUCCCUUUAAACUGCUUUGGUCAGAGGAUUUUAAUCAAACAGGAAAAUACAUUAAGAUACCUACUAUGUGUCAAGUGUGUGUCACAUUAAGAAGUAGGUUUAAGACAUCGAAGGGAACAUCCUGGUUCUGCGGCUGAGGGCUACCAUCCAUGGGAGACACAAAGGGUGAGCAUAUACCUGUGUAUGCAACAGAACUAGCCAGGAAUGUAGAUAGGGCAGGUGGAUGCGAGAGAAUAUUUGGCCAUUGUGUCGAGAGGAAUGGUUAUUGAACAGGAGAGAGGCAUGAUCAGGUCCAUUUUUAGAAUGGCUCUUCUGGACACACUGUGUGUGUGUGUGUGUGUGUGUGUGUGUGUCUAUGUGUAUGUGCACAUGUUUGUGUGCCCCUGCCUCCCCACCUGUGCACGCAUGUAUACAUGUGUGUGUUCAGUACUGUAGGGUACAGGAUACAUCCAACAGGAAGGAGGCCAGAAGACUCUCAAACCGACUCUGUGAAUGAAGAGUGAACUUCUUGACUUCUGGUGGAAGUUCCCGCACCCAGCGCCAUUGGUGCAGGUGGUCUGUUGGGAGCGACGCCCUUGAAGCCCUUCAUUGUUGAUGUUAUUAUUAUGGUUAGAAUUAAGUAUGACUAGGUUCAUGGAAAAUCCCCAGCCAGCUGCAGAAGACUAAUACAAAUCUGGUGGUCAAGAAAAAUAAUAACAUGAUAAAGACAUCCUGGUGACUAAUAGAUAUGACAAACCUGUGACCUUUCUGACAACCUGUCAACAUCAGCCUACUCCCUGACCACACAAAUAUUGUGUCCUUGGCCUGCGUAAAUGUUUCUUAUUCCCCCCUCCCUCUGUUACCCAUGUUAUGGUAUAAAUUCAGCCUUGGGGAAAAAUAAAAUUGUCGCCUUGAUCAGA